CUGCAGGCAGCUGACAUAAGUUGCACAACCGCCAGCACUUGUUCUCGUGGGGGACUUCUACUUCCCAGACAUGUCCUGGAAAUACAAUACAGCUCAGAAGAAGCAGUCUAGGAGGAUUCUGGAGACUGUGGAAGAUAGCUUCCUGGCGCAGAGGGCUAGUGAGCCUACCAGGGGAGGUGCCCUGCUAGACCUUCUGUUCACUAACAGAGAAGGACUGGUGGGAGAUGUGGUGGUCGGGAGCUGUC